rnacentral:lncRNA from 1 species
UUGGGUCCAUUCCUCCGGUCGAGAGAAUGCAAAGCCGUUGCGCUCGUCCUCGUAUGGCACCAGGUGCAGAGAUGCAGGAGAUUUAAGCCUUGCCACAUCUGCCGCAAGAACUUUUACUCGAGUUUUUUGUGUAAGAACAUACCGCCCAAUGCUAGUGCUUGGUGGAGAAGAGGGAAGAAGAGCAGCGACGUUGGCGAGGAGGAGCAAGCGAGCAAGACCGAGCGGCGUUUACACCUUUUCACUUGUGGUUCGUUCCUGCUGCAAGCUGUGACCAGCUUGGAUGUCAAUCCCAUGAAACGCAACACACUCAUUUCUCUCUCUCUCUUAUAAAAAUCACAUUU